rnacentral:ncRNA from 15 species
CCGACCUUAGCUCAGAUGGUAGAGCGGAGGACUGUAGAUCCUUAGGUCGCUGGUUCGAAUCCGGCAGGUCGGA